rnacentral:lncRNA from 1 species
CGGCUAUUUUCAAAAUGAUUUUUUUAGAAAGGAGCAAAGACUGGCGUCCAGAAUAUGAACCAGCACACAGUAAAUUGAAUAAUGUAAAAAUGAGAAAACUGUUCGGCUAAAGACGUCAAACGCUUUUUGUCAUAAAUUACCCGACAAAUUUAACAAAAGAUAUGGUAUAUCAAGGUAGCGACUGACGUCUGACUAAAUAGAUGAAUGGGGCUAAAUAUUAAAAUACAACUUUUUGAUAAAUAUUCCUAAAGUAAUGAACAUAGAGAAGUUCUCGCUCGGACACACACUCCAUAAUCUAGUAUAAUAUAA